GAUUCCGUAGUGUAGUGGUUAUCACGUCUGAUUUACACGCAGAAGGUCCCAGGUUCGAUCGCUGGGCGGAGCCA